GAGACGUGGCUGGACCUAGAGACUGUCAUGCAGAGUGAGGGAAACAGCUGCCUUCUUGUGCCCAGCCUCUCCCAACAGUGUGUCAUCACAGGCCACUCCUGGGCCGCUAUGUUCUGUGUGGUGGUCAGAGGCAACCAGCGGCCCCGCUCAAGAGAAUUUAAUUCUCACCGUAUGUGUAAGGGCCGACGCAGUAAUUUUGCAAGCAUUGUUUAAGUAUUUGGGAACGUUUUGUUCAUUAGACAACCAAAGUACUUAAAAAGAAAAUUAAACAUAUUUUCAUUAUAAAAGCA